CCCGCCCAAGCACCUUCCACAGUACCGAAAUCACCAGCUCCCGUUGCUUCUCCCAAAUCAUCUCCACCAGCUGCAACCCCUGCAUCUACUCCGGCGGCAUCUCCCACCACCACCCCCGCCGCGCCUGCUCCGGUGACCAAGCCACCUGCAGCCUCUCCUCCUCCGGCGACUCCUCCACCGGCAACUCCUCCUCCGGCGCCGGUUCCCGUGAGCUCUCCCCCCGCUCCCGUGCCGGUGAGUUCUCCACCCGCUCCUGUUCCGGUGGCGGCGCCAACCACCCCUGUGGCUCCCUCUCCGGCUCCGAAGCAUAAGAAGAAGGGCAAGAAGCACGGUGCUCCGGCUCCUUCACCGUUG
rnacentral:lncRNA from 1 species